rnacentral:rRNA from 1 species
GUGAACGCUGGCGGGAGGCCUAACACAUGCAAGUCGAACGGCAGCACAGUAAGAGCUUGCUCUUACGGGUGGCGAGUGGCGGACGGGCGAGGAAUACAUCGGAAUCUACUUUUUCGUGGGGGAUAACGGAGGGAAACUUACGCUAAUACCGCAUACGACCGACGGGUGAAAGCAGGGGAUCUUCGGACCUUGCGCGAUUGAAUGAGCCGAUGUCGGAUUAGCUAGUUGGCGGGGUAAAGGCCCACCAAGGCGACGAUCCGUAGCCGGUCUGAGAGGAUGAUCAGCCACACUGGAACUGAGACACGGUCCAGACUCCUACGGGAGGCAGCAGUGGGGAAUAUUGGACAAUGGGCGCAAGCCUGAUCCAGCCAUACCGCGUGGGUGAAGAAGGUCUUCGGGUUGUAAAGCCCUUUUGUUGGGAAAGAAAAGCAGCAGGUUAAUACCCCGCUGUUCUGACGGUACCCAAAGAAUAAGCACCGGCUAACUUCGUG